rnacentral:rRNA from 1 species
ANCGGUGGAGCAUGNGGUUUAAUUCGAUGAUACGCGAGGAACCUUACCUGGGCUAGAAUGUGAGGGAAUGGUCUGGAGACAGAUCAGUCAGCAAUGACCCGAAACAAGGUGCUGCAUGGCCGUCGUCAGCUCGUGCCGUGAGGUGUUGGGUUAAGUCCCGCAACGAGCGCAACCCCUAUGUUUAGUUGCCAGCAUGUAAUGGUGGGGACUCUAGACAGACUGCCUGCGCAAGCAGAGAGGAAGGAGGGGACGACGUCAGGUCAUCAUGGNCCUUACGNCCAGGGNGACACACGUGCUACA